ensembl:lncRNA
CCCCCUCCUCCGAACCCCCCACGCCGGUGAAGCGGGAGUGGGCUGAGCGGGUGCACAGAGUGUUCUGCAAGCUUGUUCUACUGUCUUCUACCUGAAUGACCUCAUUCCAGGGAAAGAAAACACCAUCCUCUCUCUGGAAACUUCUCUGGCCUUCAUCUUCUCCAUCUGUAAACGGAGAUCAUAACACCAUCCUACUGUUUGUUGUGCAGAAUUCAAUGGAUUCAUGAAUUAAUAGACACCCAGUGCUUGGCCUGAAAUAUUGGGAAAAAAGAAUGAAAAGAGGUGGACCCAGGGUUUGUAGAGCCUGAAGUUUAUACCAGUUGGAAAC